rnacentral:rRNA from 1 species
UUAAGCGACUAAGCGUACACGGUGGAUGCCCUGGCAGUCAGAGGCGAUGAAGGACGUGCUAAUCUGCGAUAAGCGUCGGUGAGGUGAUAUGAACCGUUAUAACCGGCGAUUUCCGAAUGGGGAAACCCAGUGUGUUUCGACACACUAUCAUUAACUGAAUCCAUAGGUUAAUGAGGCGAACCGGGGGAACUGAAACAUCUAAGUACCCCGAGGAAAAGAAAUCAACCGAGAUUCCCCCAGUAGCGGCGAGCGAACGGGGAGGAGCCCAGAGCCUGAAUCAGUGUGUGUGUUAGUGGAAGCGUCUGGAAAGGCGUGCGAUACAGGGUGACAGCCCCGUACACAAAAAUGCACAUAUUGUGAGCUCGAUNNGAGUAGGGCGGGACACGUGGUAUCCUGUCUGAAUAUGGGGGGACCAUCCUCCAAGGCUAAAUACUCCUGACUGACCGAUAGUGAACCAGUACCGUGAGGGAAAGGCGAAAAGAACCCCGGCNNGAGGGGAGUGAAAAAGAACCUGAAACCGUGUACGUACAAGCAGUGGGAGCCUCUUAAUGGGGUGACUGCGUACCUUUUGUAUAAUGGGUCAGCGACUUAUAUUCUGUAGCAAGGUUAACCGAAUAGGGGAGCCGAAGGGAAACCGAGUCUUAACUGGGCGUUAAGUUGCAGGGUAUAGACCCGAAACCCGGUGAUCUAGCCAUGGGCAGGUUGAAGGUUGGGUAACACUAACUGGAGGACCGAACCGACUAAUGUUGAAAAAUUAGCGGAUGACUUGUGGCUGGGGGUGAAAGGCCAAUCAAACCGGGAGAUAGCUGGUUCUCCCCGAAAGCUAUUUAGGUAGCGCCUCGUGAAUUCAUCUCCGGGGUAGAGCACUGUUUCGGCAAGGGGGUCAUCCCGACUUACCAACCCGAUGCAAACUGCGAAUACCGGAGAAUGUUAUCACGGGAGACACACGGCGGGUGCUAACGUCCGUCGUGAAGAGGGAAACAACCCAGACCGCCAGCUAAGGUCCCAAAGUCAUGGUUAAGUGGGAAACGAUGUGGGAAGGCCCAGACAGCCAGGAUGUUGGCUUAGAAGCAGCCAUCAUUUAAAGAAAGCGUAAUAGCUCACUGGUCGAGUCGGCCUGCGCGGAAGAUGUAACGGGGCUAAACCAUGCACCGAAGCUGCGGCAGCGACACUAUGUGUUGUUGGGUAGGGGAGCGUUCUGUAAGCCUGUGAAGGUGGCCUGUGAGGGUUGCUGGAGGUAUCAGAAGUGCGAAUGCUGACAUAAGUAACGAUAAAAGCGGGUGAAAAGCCCGCUCGCCGGAAGACCAAGGGUUCCUGUCCAACGUUAAUCGGGGCAGGGUGAGUCGACCCCUAAGGCGAGGCCGAAAGGCGUAGUCGAUGGGAAACAGGUUAAUAUUCCUGUACUUGGUGUUACUGCGAAGGGGGGACGGAGAAGGCUAUGUUGGCCGGGCGACGGUUGUCCCGGUUUAAGCGUGUAGGCUGGUUUUCCAGGCAAAUCCGGAAAACCAAGGCUGAGGCGUGAUGACGAAGCACUACGGUGCUGAAGCGACAAAUGCCCUGCUUCCAGGAAAAGCCUCUAAGCAUCAGGUAACAUCAAAUCGUACCCCAAACCGACACAGGUGGUCAGGUAGAGAAUACCAAGGCGCUUGAGAGAACUCGGGUGAAGGAACUAGGCAAAAUGGUGCCGUAACUUCGGGAGAAGGCACGCUGNNAUAUGUAGGUGAAGCGACUUGCUCGUGGAGCUGAAAUCAGUCGAAGAUACCAGCUGGCUGCAACUGUUUAUUAAAAACACAGCACUGUGCAAACACGAAAGUGGACGUAUACGGUGUGACGCCUGCCCGGUGCCGGAAGGUUAAUUGAUGGGGUUAGCGGUAACGCGANAGCUCUUGAUCGAAGCCCCGGUAAACGGCGGCCGUAACUAUAACGGUCCUAAGGUAGCGAAAUUCCUUGUCGGGUAAGUUCCGACCUGCACGAAUGGCGUAAUGAUGGCCAGGCUGUCUCCACCCGAGACUCAGUGAAAUUGAACUCGCUGUGAAGAUGCAGUGUACCCGCGGCAAGACGGAAAGACCCCGUGAACCUUUACUAUAGCUUGACACUGAACAUUGAGCCUUGAUGUGUAGGAUAGGUGGGAGGCUUUGAAGUGUGGACGCCAGUCUGCAUGGAGCCGACCUUGAAAUACCACCCUUUAAUGUUUGAUGUUCUAACGUUGGCCCGUAAUCCGGGUUGCGGACAGUGUCUGGUGGGUAGUUUGACUGGGGCGGUCUCCUCCUAAAGAGUAACGGAGGAGCACGAAGGUUGGCUAAUCCUGGUCGGACAUCAGGAGGUUAGUGCAAUGGCAUAAGCCAGCUUGACUGCGAGCGUGACGGCGCGAGCAGGUGCGAAAGCAGGUCAUAGUGAUCCGGUGGUUCUGAAUGGAAGGGCCAUCGCUCAACGGAUAAAAGGUACUCCGGGGAUAACAGGCUGAUACCGCCCAAGAGUUCAUAUCGACGGCGGUGUUUGGCACCUCGAUGUCGGCUCAUCACAUCCUGGGGCUGAAGUAGGUCCCAAGGGUAUGGCUGUUCGCCAUUUAAAGUGGUACGCGAGCUGGGUUUAGAACGUCGUGAGACAGUUCGGUCCCUAUCUGCCGUGGGCGCUGGAGAACUGAGGGGGGCUGCUCCUAGUACGAGAGGACCGGAGUGGACGCAUCACUGGUGUUCGGGUUGUCAUGCCAAUGGCACUGCCCGGUAGCUAAAUGCGGAAGAGAUAAGUGCUGAAAGCAUUUAAGCACGAAACUUGCCCCGAGAUGAGUUCUCCCUGAGACUUAGAGUCUCCUGAAGGAACGUUGAAGACGACGACGUUGAUAGGCCGGGUGUGUAAGCGCAGCGAUGCGUUGAGCUAACCGGUACUAAUGAACCGUGAGGCUUAACCU